rnacentral:rRNA from 1 species
GAUUAUGGCUCAGGACGAACGCUGGCGGCAUGCCUAACACAUGCAAGUCGAACGGGGGUAGCAAUACCCUAGUGGCGAACGGGUGAGUAACACAUAAGCAAUCUGCCCUUCACAGGGGGAUAACAGCGGGAAACUGCUGCUAAUACCGCAUAAGACCACGGUACCGCAUGGUACAGGGGUAAAAACGAAUCAGUGGUGAAGGAUGAGCUUAUGUCCCAUUAGCUAGUUGGUGAGAUAACAGCCCACCAAGGCGACGAUGGGUAGCCGACCUGAGAGGGUGAUCGGCCACACUGGAACUGAGACACGGUCCAGACUCCUACGGGAGGCAGCAGUGGGGAAUAUUGGGCAAUGGAGGAAACUCCUUACCCAGCAAUGCCGCGUGAGUGAAGAAGGUCUUCGGAUUGUAAAGCUCUUUGAUUGGGGACGAAGAAAGUGACGGUACCCAAAGAACAAGCCCCGGCUAACUACGUGCCAGCAGCUGC